AACGCGAAGAACCUUACCUGGGCUUGACAUAUGGAGGACCGCGCCAGAGAUGGCGUUUCCCGCAAGGGCCUCUGAUACAGGUGCUGCAUGGCUGUCGUCAGCUCGUGCCGUGAGGUGUUGGGUUAAGUCCCGCAACGAGCGCAACCCUUGCCAUUAGUUGCCAUCAUUAAGUUGGGCACUCUACUGGGACUGCCCGGGUUAACCGGGAGGAAGGUGAGGAUGACGUCAAGUCCGCAUGGCCCUUAUGUCCAGGGCUACACACGUGCUACAAUGGCCAGUACAAUAGGAAGCAAUACCGAGAGGUUGAGCAAAUCCAUGAAAGCUGGCCCCAGUUCGGAUUGAGGUCUGCAACUCGACCUCAUGAAGUUGGAAUCGCUAGUAAUGGCAUGUCAGCUACAAUGCCGUGAAUACGUUCCCGAGCCUUGUACACACCGCUCGUC
rnacentral:rRNA from 1 species